GGGGGGGGGGGGGGGGGACCCACGGCGGUGAGAAGGCGGCCACGCCAUUUGUCCGGUGACCACAGUGGGUGUUUUGUGGGUGCCGUGCCUAGAGGAGCCGCGGGGAGUCGAGGGCUGGGAUGGCCCGCAAUUGUGGGAGCAGACGGGCACAUACAGGGCAGCCGGGCCGGUACUCACUUCCUCGGAAUGUCUGAAGAGUCCUGGCAAAACCCCACCGGCUUGACAGAAGAAGAAAGGCCUGCCAAUUCGGCACACGUCACUCAUGUGUAAAUUAUGUUUAAAAGCACAACAUCAGAAGGAGAGAGACAGACUCUGUAAAUCGCUGUCUGGUCGACACAGAGCUAAUGCGCUCUCUGGAUGUGAGUGAUUCAGCCAAAUGCGGUGCUUGGCACUUACGGAGUCAAGAACUGAUACGGGGUGGCCUGCUAUCAGUUGGCGUGCGGAUGCACGUUCUCUUCCUCCUCGCCCUCUGUGACGUGUGCUCGCGGUCCCUGGAGGGACAGCAGGGCAGGCACAGAGGGGAGGGCGCAGGACGGCACACUCGGCAGAUGUGAACUCUUAGGAAGCGGCUUCUUGCCCAUCUCACGGAGCUCUGGGAGGAUGGAGGUCAGCCCUCCGAGAGCUCCCGUGUCGUAGGAGGAAGGCGGAUUGGAGGCAACACAGAGCUCCAAAGGAGCAGCGGGGACCACUCUGCUUAGUCGACCAACCGCUCACUGUUUAGUAGGUACCAGUCGGAUAGAGAAGAAGACACGAUUUCUAGGCUGCUUGGGUCCCCCUACAAGGAGGCCUCCGCAGACCCACACCUCAUCGCCAUCGGGAUAUGACCGGACCCGUGGGAGCAGCCAGGAGGCUUGGAGCGUGGGCGGGAGAGGUGCAUCCAUACAGGCCCCGAGCAAGGAGCACCGAGGGGUCCCCAAUGCAUCUCAGGGGACCCUCUCAGGAAAGCCAUAAAGCUGACCUGUGAGUAGCAGUCACCAAAUACAACACUUGCCCGCAUCACAUUGCCUAAGACAGGAGUGUAACUGUGGGUCAAGGACGGGAAAGGAAAUGGGAGGUGACAGAUGGGAAAGACACGGGAGGCGGUGAACAGCGGCAGGGACACCACGCAGACACACAGCCACAAGAGCACGGUGGUGCCGGACAGGUGGACACGAGAGGUCACGCAGGGCCUCUCCGGGACAGCCUGUGGUCGCGGGUACACCCGAAGGCUCGUUAUGGGAUCCGACUCCGAGCAAGAACAUCUUCGAGAACAUCCUCCUCUCCCUGGCCGGUCACAGGAGACCCCGGGCUCGGACUCCUGCUCCUCCUGAGAGCCCCAGGCCUCCGAGCACACAUCACGCCAGCUGGCCGAGAACUUCCCGGCAGCGUCUUCCAGCCUCCAGGCUCUCACUCGCUCUUCCUGCUCCUCUGAGAGAGCCCGGGUGGCAGUGAAGGGGUCCGUGAAACGGGCUAGGACCGGGAUGAAGAGGUGACGGAGUGCUCAGAUGCCUUCUGCUUAUCCGGGGCCCGAUCAUCCACAUCCACGAGGGCUCCAUCCUGGAGCCGGCCUGAUCUCUACUCGGGACCUGAAAGUGAGAAUGACCCCGUUUGUCGACAGAGGACGCUCGUGAGCCCCUUCAGGAUUCAGUACAAGACGGCCCGUCCUGUGGACUGCCAGGACCAAGGCUGUGACGUAACGGUCCCCAGUCUUGGCUGCUGCUAGCGACGCGGCUGGCUGUGCCCGGACGCUGGACACAAAGACUCCGGUGGUCUUCCCUGGUGGUGGUGCCCAGCCACCACGUGGAAACAAAGCUUAAAGCUUGAUUAGUGCGUGCUUGCAUUUCCUUACGUUUUGGCUGCUUUGUAUCUAUAAAUAUGGAGCAAGUUAGCUGCUUCAGGGAAGUAUUCUGAAGUAUGAGCAAAGUAGAAAAGUAGUUACACACAGUCUUAUUACCCAGAUACACCUAGUAACAUUCUGUCGUUUCCUCCCGGGUCUUUGUUACUGUGUUUUAAGCACAGUUGAAAUCACACAGUAGAUACAGUUUUGAAAACUUAAGAAGACUUAACAUAGCGGAACAAUUUCCACAUGCAUCAAACAAUUUUGUAAACAAAAUGUAAACACGAUUUUUUAAUGGCAGCAUAAAACUGAAAUAUAAGGAUGAACUACA